AUAUUUGGAGAAACUGAACCAGGAAGAUAGUUCUAUAUUUGGAGAAACUGAACCAGGAAGAUAGUUCCAUAUUUGGAGAAACUGAACCAGGAAGAUAGUUCCAUAUUUGGAGGAACUGAACCAGGAAUAUAAUUCUAUAUUUGGAGGAACUGAACCAGGAAGAUAAUUCUAUAUUUGGAGAAACUGAACCAAGAAAGAUAAUUCUUUAUUUGGAGAAACUGAACCAGGAAGAUAGUUCAAUAUUUGGAGAAACUGAACCAGGAAGAUAGUUCUAUAUUUGGAGGAACUGAAACAAGGAAGAUAAUUCUAUAUUUGGAGGAACUGAACCAGGAAGAUAAUUCUAUAUUUGGAGAAACUGAACCAAGAAAGAUAAUUCUUUAUUUGGAGAAACUGAACCAAGGAAGAUGAUUCUAUAUUUGGAGAAACUAAACCUGGAAGAUAAUUCUAUAUUUGGAGAAGCUGAACCAAGAAAGAUAAUUCUUUAUUUGGAGAAACUGAACCAAGGAAGAUGAUUCUAUAAAAGGAGAAACUGAACCAGGAAGAUAGUUUCAUAUUUGGGGAAACUGAACAGGGAGAUAAUUCUAUAUUGGGAGAAACUGAACCAGGAAGAUAUUUCUAUAUUAGGAGAAAUAGAACCAGGAAGAUAGUCACAUAUUUGGGGAAACUGAACCAAGAAGAUAGAGAUCUGUACAGAGUGCAGUACGAUCAUCCUGUACAAUGUACGUUACACUAAUAUGUUUUGUUUGACUGCAUUCUUGAAAUCAGAUAAAAGAAAGAUUAUAAUUACAUUAAUCAAAAUACAAAGCUUAGAUACUCAAUAUUUAUUUUCAUCCAUUUUUUUCUUCAAUAAUUAAUUUUACAUCAUUUUUAGCUCUGGUUCUUUUUGUACAGAUUUUGUACAAUUUACAUCUGUACAUAAUUGUGAUAUUAGAUUAGAAUUUCAUGAAAUGUUGUGGUUAACAGUUUUUUCUCCUAAUUGUACAAAUGUACAUGUUCUGUAGCGUGUAAAUAACUUGGAAUUGAGUUUUUGCCACAAGUCAGAUUUUCUAUUCCCUUAUAGCUGUGCAGCCCAAUGUCGUAAGGCUUACAUGUUUAAAACUAUCAAUUUUGUUGAAACUUUAAACUUUUUUUCUUUCGAAUUUCUUCCUUUUUGCGAAUUUAGCGUAAAUAUGCCUUUAUUUCGCGAGUUUUGUUCCCAAAUGGUUCCUCUUGGCAUGAAAUUAUUAAUUUCAGAGUUAUUAUUAUCUCAAGAUGUCUGACUUGAAGAAUAUGAUCGAUGAUAAUAUGAGACACUUACUCAAGUUUUUGCCUAAGAAGGAUAAAAUCUCCCUAAGAGCUACGAGUUUUAACCUUGCUGAGUCAGAUAAAUGAGCUGGAGAGCAUCUUCAAGGUUUGGAAGAUAUGUGAUGAAGUAGAUAAGAACAAGCUGAGAACAGUAGCAGAUAUUAGUAUCAUUCAAGAAUUGGAAAUCCCUUCUCUUAGUCCUCCUGGUUGUGGUCCAGCGUUCAAAUACUUGGUGGAGGAACACGAGGAAAUGGAAACUAUCAGUAUAGGGUUGUGUGGUGUGAGGAGUAGAGAGGAUGAGGAGGAUAUCGUGUUGACUAUAUUCUCCAAUAUUAAUCUAAGAUCUGUUACUAUUCGUAAUAUGUGGAAUACAUGAGAUAACAUUGGUCGUCUCCCCAGCGCUCUUCAUAACCUAAAGAAGCUGAUACUGACAGGUUGGAGGUCGUUAUCAGAUCAAGGACUGGUUGAGAUAUUGAACAGAUACGGGAGUAAUCUCAGAGAAUUAGAUCUAUCUGGUUCUAACAUUACGGGGGUUGGAGUAGAGGAAGGAGUAAACUCUCUUCCUAACCUUGAUGUACUGAACCUGUCUUGGUGUUUUAAUCUGACAGAUGAAGGACUAACAGAGGUUUUAAGAGUUUCUGAGUCUAAACUUAGAGUUCUAGACGUAUCCCGGACUAAUAUAACAGUGAAGGGAAUCAAGGAUGGAAUAUCUCUCCCUAUGCUGGAGGAACUGAACCUGUAUAGGGUGUAGAAAACUGACUAAAUCAGGUUUCCAGGAUAUAUGUAGUAUCUCAUGGAGUAGAAUGAAGACUGUGAAGUAAGACAAUACCAGAAUAUUGUCUUAUAUAUUCUUCAAACUUUUAUUAAGAGAAAUACAACAAAAUCAACCUUGUAAAUAUUGAAAGUUUCUAAUUAUAAGAUUCAGUUCAAUCUUUAAAGAUAUAAACACUUGAAGAAUAGUGAGAGGGGUACAGAUCUUAUGAAUGCAAAUGAUGAAUUAUGAACCAAAGCCCUGUGAUCAGUGAACAGUGAACUUCUUAAUGAACAGAAUGAGUAAUUUUGCUUUAAUCAAAAUAGAGUCAAAAUCUUCUAAAGCGCUUUUAUAUUUUUCAUAGCUCUUUAGAGUACACUGGUUCAAAUCAAUUAAUGGGUUAUUAUCAUUAUUAUCGUCAAUCUUGUAUAAUCACUUAAAUCAACCAAAUGGUUGUUAACGUUUAAAGUUAAUUUUUGUUUCUUGAUCGUUAAUUCUUAUAAAAUCAACCAAAUGGUUGUUAACGUUUAAAGUUAAUUUUUGUUUCUUGAUCGUUAAUUCUUAUAAUACAUCUAAAUUAUAGAAUUAAGUAAGAUUUUCGUCCUGAAACCAAUAAUCGUUUUUUUCUUCAGAAAGGGUACAGUCUAUAUUAUAAAAAGGCAAAGUGUGUAAAUAUUUGUAAUUAGUUACCUUAAACCAAACAAAAUAUAUUUUUAUAGAUUUGAAAAUUGGCAUCGUUUUGGUUUUAUAUAUUGUGGAAUUUCUUUCAUGAAUGAACUAAAAUGUCAGAGUAGAUGAAAAUAUCUUGCGUGGAGAAUAAUUUCAACCGAAGAUUAGACGAUGAUACGUGCAUGAUUGCAGCUACACCUCAAGGUGCUCGAGGGUGUAAAAGCCUUGCAGGAGGCAUUUGAUAAAGCACAGCAGCUGCCUCCUGUAGGGCUUCGAUAG